UUCGCGUGACAUGAGGGUUGGGUUUGCUUUCUUAAAUGUAAACACUAUCAAAGGAGUUUAAAUUAUUAUUUAAUCUUUAUCAGCCACUUUUGGGAUGGCCAUAGGCACCGAAACCGGCGUGCACUAACGUCGCAAUGAAAUGUUGCUGCAGGCCUGAUGCUGCAAGGCAAGUGUGGUUUAGGUGAAAAUCACAGGCCUGUAGGUCACAGCUUGCCACUGACAUGUGCUCGAUGCUCGGGAGCUGGCAGUGCCACCCAAGGCAGUCUGUGCCUGUCCUUGCUGUGUUCAGCCAUGACAACGCCCAUGUUUCUGCCUGGUGAUAAUCAAGUACAUAAACCACCUUGCACUGUGGAACCAUGGUCCUGAAGCAAAAGGAACCACAUUUUCUAUUCUAAAAAGGAGCGAGUGGGCAGCAGGAGCAGAAGUGGGAGAGGCUCUCUCUCUUCUGUGGUGUCUCCACAGCCUUCCUCGAGACCAUUAUGGGAUAUUAGGGUAUGUUUAAGGAGCAGAUAGCAUAUCUCCCAUGAACAUUUCCUGUCUCACCCAGAACAUGACAAUAGUUCCCUAGGCAAACUCAUUUUUCCCCUUAGAGGCCACAGUUUGCAUGAAGAUACUGAAAACAGGGCUGGUAUUGACCA